ensembl:lncRNA
ACUGUUUGUUUGCUGAAGCUGCUGGAGAGGUUGGUUACCACAGCCUUGCUAUAUUGUUCACAUACCAGAUGAUUUCAGCAACUGUCCAGAGGAGCACAUGCGUCAAAGAUAGGAGGGAAAGAACAUGCAGUGAGGAUAAGAGGAACUAACCUGGCAGGCCCAGAAAAAACGUCACCUUGAGGCUUCAAGAGGCCCCCUUCUGAUUUCCAUGGAGAAUGGAGGAGAGUAAACUCAAACUCUCUGCCCUCCUUCAGAGCUGGAGACUUCAUUUGAACCACAGCUGUGAAUAUUUGAGGGCCUGAUUGUGUCUAUGGAUACUAAUUUGUUCAAGGAAGACAAGGAAGAUGGUGAGCUGCAACCCCGACCCUUUUCGCAUCGAUCAGACAAGAUAGACCCUCCUGAAAAGCAGUGCUCCUGAGGAAAAAGAAACGAAACUGCUUCCGAUGAACACCACCAGUAUCGGGAAAGGCAGUUAAGAUAUGUGAAGAAUGCUGCUUCUUUCUUUGCCACAGUGGCAGAGUAUUUCUCUAAAGAGCACCCCAGCUAUGAUAGUUCAUGGUCUCCAAAGAGCUGUAACUUAAAAGCACACGAAAGAGAUGGGAUCCACAUCAUGGAAAGAGGUCAUUAACAGACCUUUGAGAUCACACCCUGAAAAAGGAUGUAUUAAUGUAAAUGCAUUUAGGUAG